GUUUAUGAUAAUUACAAGUAUAUUCCCUAAGUAUUUUUAAUGGUAAUCAGACUCAGGUCUUCCAUCUUUUGUGGUUCACACCAACUCACGUUUUAUUUCUUUUUGCAAAAGGCCACAAUUUUUGUAAAUUCUAAUUGUAUUAUUUUAAAUAUUAAAAUGUAUAGCUUUAUUAUUGCUUAAAAUGUUGUUCUAGUUUUGCUGGUAUGUUACUAACACUGGGCACUUAUUUUUUUUAACCUUGCACAUUUGCUUUUAUAAUAUUCAUAAAUCAUCACUUUCAGAAUGUGAGCAGAGUCGGGUUGCAAAGUGAAUUUUCUCCUUACUAAUUUGGAAUUUGUCUUUAAACAUAGGUAUUUUGGCCUCUCCCCAGUCUGCUCCUGGAAACUUGGACAAUAGUAAAAGUGGAGAAAUUAAAGGUAAUGGAAGUGGUGGAAGCAGAGAAAAUAGUACUGUUGACUUCAGCAAGGUUGAUAUGAAUUUCAUGAGAAAAAUUCCUACGGGUGCUGAGGCAUCCAACGUCCUGGUGGGCGAAGUAGACUUUUUGGAAAGGCCUAUAAUUGCAUUUGUGAGACUG
rnacentral:sRNA from 1 species